CGGUGCAUAGUUCAACUGGUAGAGCACUGGACUUGCACUCCUGAGGUUCCAGGUUUGAUCCCUGGUGCUGCAU
rnacentral:tRNA from 1 species